GAGUUGCGAACGGGUGAGUAACGCGUAGGUAACCUACCUCAUAGCGGGGGAUAACUAUUGGAAACGAUAGCUAAUACCGCAUAAGAGAGACUAACGCAUGUUAGUAAUUUAAAAGGGGCAAUUGCUCCACUAUGAGAUGGACCUGCGUUGUAUUAGCUAGUUGGUGAGGUAAAGGCUCACCAAGGCGACGAUACAUAGCCGACCUGAGAGGGUGAUCGGCCACACUGGGACUGAGACACGGCCCAGACUCCUACGGGAGGCAGCAGUAGGGAAUCUUCGGCAAUGGGGGCAACCCUGACCGAGCAACGCCGCGUGAGUGAAGAAGGUUUUCGGAUCGUAAAGCUCUGUUGUUAGAGAAGAAUGAUGGUGGGAGUGGAAAAUCCACCAAGUGACGGUAACUAACCAGAAAGGGACGGCUAACUACGUGCCAGCAGCCGCGGUAAUAUGUAGGGGGCUAGCGUUAUCCGGAUUUACUGGGCGUAAAGGGUGCGUAGGUGGUCUUUCAAGUCGGUGGUUAAAGGCUACGGCUCAACCGUAGUUAGCCUCCGAAACUGGAAGACUUGAGUGCAGGAGAGGAAAGUGGAAUUCCCAGUGUAGCGGUGAAAUGCGUAGAUAUUGGGAGGAACACCAGUAGCGAAGGCGGCUUUCUGGACUGCAACUGACACUGAGGCACGAAAGCGUGGGUAGCAAACAGGAUUAGAUACCCUGGUAGUCCACGCUGUAAACGAUGAGUACUAGGUGUCGGGGGUUACCCCCCUCGGUGCCGCAGCUAACGCAUUAAGUACUCCGCCUGGGGAGUA
rnacentral:rRNA from 1 species